rnacentral:rRNA from 1 species
UACGUAGGGGGCUAGCGUUGUUCGGAUUCACUGGGCGUAAAGGGUGCGUAGGUGGUGAGGUAAGUCGGAUGUGAAAUCUCCGGGCUCAACCCGGAAAUGGCAUUGGAAACUACCUUGCUGGAGGAUUUGAGGGGGAUUGGAAUACUUGGUGUAGCAGUGAAAUGCGUAGAUAUCAAGUGGAACACCAGUGGCGAAGGCGAAUCCCUGGAAAAUACCUGACACUGAGGCACGAAAGCUAGGGGAGCAAACAGG